rnacentral:rRNA from 1 species
GAUGAACGCUAGCGGCAGGCCUAAUACAUGCAAGUCGAGGGGUAGUGGAGCUUGCUCCAUGAGACCGGCGCACGGGUGCGUAACGCGUAUGCAACUUACCCUUAUCUGGGGGAUAGCCCGGUGAAAACCGGAUUAACACCCCAUAGUAUUUUUGAAAGGCAUCUUUUAGGAAUUAAAAAUUUAUUGGAUAGGGAUGGGCG